GACGAACGCUGGCGGCGUGCCUAAUACAUGCCAGUCGUGCGGACCUUUUAAAAGCUUGCUUUUAAAAGGUUAGCGGCGGACGGGUGAGUAACACGUGGGCAACCUGCCUGUAAGACUGGGAUAACGCCGGGAAACCGGGGCUAAUACCAGAUCGUUUUUUCCUCCGCAUGGAGGAAAAAGGAAAGGCGGCUUCGGCUGCCACUUACAGAUGGGCCCGCGGCGCAUUAGCUAGUUGGCGGGGUAACGGCCCACCAAGGCAACGAUGCGUAGCCGACCUGAGAGGGUGAUCGGCCACAUUGGGACUGAGACACGGCCCAAACUCCUACGGGAGGCAGCAGUAGGGAAUCUUCCGCAAUGGACGAAAGUCUGACGGAGCAACGCCGCGUGAGUGAAGAAGGCCUUCGGGUCGUAAAACUCUGUUGCCGGGGAAGAACAAGUGCCGUUCGAACAGGGCGGCGCCUUGACGGUACCCGGCCAGAAAGCCACGGCUAACUACGUG
rnacentral:rRNA from 1 species